CCGACAUAUUAUAUGAGGCAACACUUUCUUCUUCUCAAACUCAUAGAACUACGAUCGAUGUCCUUUUCCCGGUGAUUAUUUACUGGCCUUUCCAAUUCAAUACUCAAAAGGAUGCGUGAACAAAGCCUACGUCGCCUUGGCAGCAGCAAGAGUUUUAGAAGAAUCCUUCUCAGGGUUUCAUGCACCAGCUUCUACUUCUUUUUCCGAUGAUCCUCUGUCUCCCUAUGAUUUCAGGGCAGCACUGCGAACCAGGAGACCUGGGCUUUCGCCACAACCUCCGGUGAUCAAUAACUCUCCUCAUUUUUUCAAGAGUCCACCACCUCGACCACCACUGCCGCCACAAGCACCGCCACCACCACCACCACCAUGUUAAAUUGUUAAUGCAUGUUGGAACAGUCAGAAAUAUAUAUGUAUCCAGUUUCUUUCUCCACCACCUGUUCAGUUGUACUACCAAUUGCUUGGACUAAUGUAAUAGUAGUAUUAGUGUAGCCAUGUACUGCUUCAAAUAAAACCAUCAAGCUUCCAUUA